AACUAAAGGAAUUGACGGGGCCCGCACAAGCGGAGGAGCAUGUGGUUUAAUUCGAUGAUACGCGAGGAACCUUACCUGGGCUCGAACGUAAGAUGACUGUAGGUGAAAGCUUACAUCUCUUCGGAGCAUUUUACGAGGUGCUGCAUGGUUGUCGUCAGCUCGUGCCGUGAGGUGUCGGGUUAAGUCCCAUAACGAGCGCAACCCCUACCUUUAGUUGCCAUCAGGUAAUGCUGGGGACUCUAAAGGAACUGCCUACGCAAGUAGUGAGGAAGGUGGGGAUGACGUCAAAUCAGCACGGCCCUUACGUCCAGGGCUACACACGUGCUACAAUGGCCGGUACAAAGGGUUGCCAAGCCGCGAGGUGGAGCUAAUCCCAUAAAACCGAUCGUAGUCCGGAUCGCAGUCUGCAACUCGACUGCGUGAAGUCGGAAUCGCUAGUAAUCGUGAAUCAGAAUGUCACGGUGAAUACGUUCCCGGGCCUU
rnacentral:rRNA from 1 species